AUUUAAUUUUACACUGUUUUUAAACUUUAACUUUUCUACAGGCAGCAGGGGGACUGCCUGUCAUUUCAGACAGGCCCCUGCAGGCACUGCUGUGGACGGCUAUUCCGUCCAUGUGAUCGCGUCCUCAUCGCGAUCACAUGGCCUGGGAGGGACGGAUGAGCAGCAGGGGGACUCCCUGGGAUGCCGGGCAAGUCCCCCAUUGCGAUCGCUUGCGUGGGAUCGCCGGCGAGCAGGUAAGUGCAUAGGACGGCGGGGAUGUACUAUGCCGUCCGCCGGCGUUUAGGACUGGGUCCCCAAGGAUGUCCUAGUACGCCCGCUGUCCUUAAGGUGUUAAACAAGAGGAGUAUUUAAAACAUACUGUCAACUGACAGCAAGGCCAUCAAGAGUACGGUGAUAAUAUAAAUACAAUAUAGAAAAUCUAUUAAUGUAGUUUCCUAGGAAGCCCCCAUGUGUUUUAUUAUUUAUAAAGCGCCCGCAAAUUCAGUAGCGCUGUACAAUGUGUAGCUUGUCUCUGUUCCAUUCUCUUAUAAACUAUACAGUAUGAUGGCUCUAUAUAAAUGAUGAUCACAAAUAUUUCCUGAUCAGUAAAGGUGAAAAGUAACUCCUCCUACUCUCAGGGAGCAGAGCAGCAAUGUGAGAGGUUCCCAGCGAGCAUUGUGUGUACAGGUGGUCUUCAUUUAGCAACCUACCUGUUUUACGACAGCUCGCACUUAUGACGUAAGUGGGAGCCGUCGUAGGGAUUCCCUGCUCUGGUGCGCAUGUCUAUCCUGAACAUAGACAGACGGACGAGAGCAGGAAAUCCCUCUAAUCUAUGUUCAGGGAAGUUUCCCCGAACAUAGAAAAGCGCACCAGAGCAGGGACUCCAUCAAAUUUCUCUGAACAUUGAUUAGAGGGAUUCCCUGCUCUUGUGCGUUUGUCUAUGUUUGAGGACGUUUCCCCUAACAUAGACAAACGCACCCAAAGGAAAAAAAUAAAUUAAUUGCAUGCAUGUUUUCACUAGAGUGGGAUAUCUACUAAACAUUUGUUGUGUGUUUUUUUUUUUUUUGCUUUAUUCUCCCCUCUCUGUAGUGGAGUGUCCUUUUUAAGAUCAGCUAAGCUGUCAUAACCUUUACCCCACGGACACAUUGUCUUGGUUUGCUCUUUGACGCCGACCUUUCCUUCACACCUCACAUAAAAUCCAUCACUAAAUAUUGUCCCUUGCACCUUACAAGAAACACUUCCCAUGUUUACUCAUUUCUCGUUCAGGUUGCCCGUGCCCAGAUUGUCCCUCUACAGUCCAUAAUAAACAUCUCUGCCAGACACCCCUACCUUAUAUCCAGCAACGCUCACACUUACCCCUUUUUCUGUUUCUACACUGGCUUCCUAUUUCAUUUAGGAUUCGAUACAAACUUCUUGUGCUUACUUCCAAAUCUCUCCAUAACCAUGCCUCUGCUUAUAUCUCCUCCUUCAGAUGUUCUCCAGACCCAUUCUCUUCCCACUGCUGAUAACCUGUUAUUGUACUGCUUCCACGCCAUGGACUCUCACCUGCAGAUUAUGCCCUCCUUUUGGGACACCCGACUCUCCCUGUCUCUGCAAUCCUACAAAUUUUUUUUUAAAAAUCCUAAAAACACACUGUGGCAAACCUAGCCACUUGGACAAUAACUAGAGACUGUGCCUUUAAGGGUUGCCAAUAGGUCGGGCGAGAUAUGCGCUUUACACUUAUGUAGAUGUUAAUGUAUUUUCCGUAUUGCCUGUAAUGCUGUUUCCGCCGAAUGCAAAUGGCGGUUUUGUAUGGGGAUUCUCUUUCGUUUCACGAAC
rnacentral:lncRNA from 1 species